rnacentral:lncRNA from 1 species
GUGCCUAAUGGAAGCAUCGUCUUUCACGCAGCUGAUACACAUGAGUCCUCUGUCUCUGUUCGUGUCAGGCGAUCUGUCACGCCCGCUGCGUUUGAUGUUCAUUGAGACCAUGAGGUAUCGUCGAGCUCUAGACGUUAAAUUAAGCACUUGUUGGGAGGUAACCCAACCGUUUUUGUUUUGUUUUUCUUUCUUUCAGUUUCGUUUUGUUUCUUUUUGUUUUGUUGUUUUGUUUGUUUUUUUAGUGCGGUGUUGAGCUUGGAAGUUGCGAGAUCUCGCGCUUUGUUCAUGCCACCGCCAUGGCAUGUGUUUCUCUGCCAGGUUACUGGAGGUUUUCAUGUUUCCAGCGCAGCCUUUUCUACUCUUCGCUGCCCUGUCCAGCGCAGCCACUCUCUACUCUGCCCAAGGCCACAAACCUCCAUUUUCGCCGCCUCUCACGAUGGUUCAGCUUUUCAUUGCCGAUAAUCAGGGACAUUUUCUACACUCUUCGUAUUUCUUUUAUGCCCUGAGGACAUGGCAUGCUUUAAGUGUGGGGGGGUGUUUUGUUGCUUAUAUUUUUCAAAAAUUGGGUGAGAUCAAUCUUUCUACGCUUAGUUUUUGGUCUCGAAUCUUGC